UGGCUUAAGACCCUAAAGACUAGUACUCGCUCUUCUCCGCUCAUGCCGCAUCCGCUCAUGCCUCAACUGGGACUUAGUGUUUGGACCUGGACUUAAUGUUUGGUUGGAGAGAAUAACAUGCUUAAAAGGAAGUAAGAAAAAGAAAAUAAAACCAGAAAUCUUUAAAAUUAAGGGAGUUUACUCAAAACUUCACAAAAUAAGUAAAGCAGAUAGAUCAACUCAAGAUCCACUCCUAGGCGGUAGUCCGUCACCUGGGGAUUGAGGAGAGAAGGAAAAUUAACGAGAAAUAAACUCCAGAACCACACCUAGGCGGUAGUCCGCCACCUGGGGUUGGAGGAUUUUGAUUAACCAUAAACUCCAGAACCACACCUAGGCGGUAGUCCGCCACCUGGGGUUGGAGGGUUUUGAUUAACUAUAUCAGGCCGUUUGGCUCUGAUACCAAAAACACGGAAGCAGGUAAAUAAAACAUUUGAUUAAUUGAUGAACUCAGAGUUACAAACUUACAAAUAAAUAUUUAAUGCAUAUAUAUGUAAGAGCAAGGGCUCUGUUUACACAAGUAUUUUACUGGAGAGAAUGAGAAGAGAGGAGAGGAGAAGAAGAGAAAAAUUGAAGCCCCUUCAAAUGAAGCCGGAGGCCCCUAUAAAUAGAGAUUACAAAAGUAAUGAAUAGUAAAAAGUGACUGUUGGUGAAUAGUAACUUGUCUGCCACUGAGUAACUGUUGGUCAUGUGAAUUACUGUUGAUGAAUAGUGGAUUGUCUGUCACGUGAAUAACUGUUGAUUUCGGUGGAAAAGCUGACUGAGAUGGUCUUGACUGGAAUUAAUCAAACUCAGCAUAAGGGUCUUGACUAUCUUCAUAAUCUGCCCAUCUUUUUGGUUGAUUGGGGGAACUUUGAUGACUGUGAGAUGAUGAAUCUGAUGGAGAAUGUUCUUCGUCAUCAUCUGUAGAUAAAUUUGCUGCUUCUUGUAGUAACUGU
rnacentral:lncRNA from 1 species